UACAGAGGGUGCAAGCGUUGUUCGGAAUUAUUGGGCGUAAAGCGCGUGUAGGCGGCUUGGCAAGUCAGAUGUGAAAGCCCUCGGCUUAAUCGAGGAAGUGCGUCUGAAACUGCUGAGCUUGAGUCUCGGAGAGGAUGGCGGAAUUCCGCAAGUAGAGGUGAAAUUCGUAGAUAUGCGGAGGAACACCGGUGGCGAAGGCGGCCAUCUGGACGAGUACUGACGCUGAGACGCGAAAGCGUGGGGAGCAAACAGG
rnacentral:rRNA from 1 species